GGGCCCGCACAAGCGGUGGAGCAUGUGGUUUAAUUCGACGCAACGCGAAGAACCUUACCUGGGCUCGAAAUGUAGUGGACCGCGGUAGAAAUAUCGCUUCCCAGCAAUGGGCCGCUAUAUAGGUGCUGCAUGGCUGUCGUCAGCUCGUGUCGUGAGAUGUUGGGUUAAGUCCCGCAACGAGCGCAACCCUUAUUACCAGUUGCUACCAUUUAGUUGAGCACUCUGGUGAGACCGCCUCGGAUAACGGGGAGGAAGGCGGGGAUGACGUCAAGUCCUCAUGGCCUUUAUGUCCAGGGCUACACACGUGCUACAAUGGCCGGUACAAACCGUCGCAAACCCGUGAGGGGGAGCUAAUCGGAAAAAGCCGGCCUCAGUUCGGAUUGGAGUCUGCAACUCGACUCCAUGAAGCUGGAAUCGCUAGUAAUCGCAGAUCAGAACGCUGCGGUGAAUACGUUCCCGGGCCUU
rnacentral:rRNA from 1 species